GUCUAAUGGAACUUCCGCCUCUCAACAUUGCAGUGCAUCAUUUUGGAAGUCUUAUAAUAUUAUCAAGAGUCAAUACCUAGCAGACUAUACCUAUAAGCAACAUUGUUAUAUGUAUAAUAUUCACAUACAAACUUGGUGGGCCCAGUGUCAAUUAUUCGUUAUCAUGUACCUAUUACUCAAAGAAAUAUGUCAUCAUAGUAUGUCGUUACUCAAUAGUAAAAAGCCGCCAAUGAGGAUCUGGGCUAAAAUAGGUCAUCAGAACCCCUUGCUUGUUGUAAGAGGCGACUAAAUGGGGCAGUCCUUCGGAUUAGACCGCAGAAACCAAUCAAUCCAUUCUUUAUUCUCCUUACCAAUAGUGCAAAGGGUACAUUUUCUUUGGGAUCUUUCUAUGCCGUACCAUCUGCCAACUUCAAUAGGUAAUCGAUUACUCAGUAUUACAUGUAUGAAAUUUACACAAAGCUAUUCUGUCAGAAGGAUCCAGUAUACAUGUAUCAAGGUAUUUUUCAAAACAAAAAAUUUCUUUUAUCAUACAAUAAAAAAAUCCUUUUGAUGAAUUAAAUACAUUAUUACACCAUUCGAAUCCCACAUAUUACCGAAACCUAAAUUAUUUAGUUUUUUUUUUUUUUGUCUCUCACAUAAAGCAUCCACUUAGAAAAGCAAAUAUCUUGUGUGAAUUUGCAUUUACAAAAUGCAUACAUAAUAUUUGAAAAUUUAUCAUCUCCUGUAAAAGCAACCUUGCACCAAUAAUUGAGCAUCCUCGAUUGUACAUCAACAUAAAGUGGAUACGCUCCCAAUUCACCAUAAAUCAAAUAACUUGGUGUUGAACGUUUUAAAUUCACUGAUAAUUUGCUAAACUUUAAAUGAACCCUUUCUAAACAUUCAUAAUUACCAGUACCCCAAACUCCACACCCAUAAAAUAAAAUCGGCUUUACAAUGCUACAAUAAAGACCGUACCGACAGCUUACCGAUAGUUUAUGUAAUCGCGGGUCUUCCCUUCUGUAAAAUCUCAUAAACACCUAGAUACAAAAAUUCAUCAACUACCUCUACAUCAUGGGAAUCAUAUUUGAAAUUAUAAUUUGGCAGCCUUCCUUUUGAAAAUACAACUACUUUUGUCUUUUCAUCAUUUACCGUUAGUUCCCAUAUGUUACAAUACUCACUAAAAAUAUUUAGAACUGUUUGUAAUCCAUCAUGAGUCUCAGAAAUCAACACUGCAUCAUCCGCGUAUAACAGAAUAAAAGGUUUGAAGUAAAUGCCCAGUGUAUCCCUAACAUUAUUACUUAAGUUUUCUAAACCUGUGACAUUUUUCAUUAGGAAAAAUUCUUCCACAUCAUUCAAAUACAAUGAAAAUAAAAAUGGUGAUAAGUUCUCGCCUUGACGAAUGUCGUUAUUACUCAUAAAGUAAUCUGAAAAUUUAUCAUCAUGGACAAUUCGUGACUUAAUGCCUUGUUUCCAACUAGUCAAUUAACAUCUUGAGUACAAAAAUAUGGUCUAUAGUAGAAUAGCCUUUUCUAAAACCAGAUUGAUUUUCAUAUAUCAAGGUCACCUCACUGGAAUAAUUUGACAACCUAGUGUUUAAUAUAGAAGUAAACAAUUUACCCAGGCAGCUAACAAUAGUAAUAGGCCUGUAGUUUUUUGGAUCUCCUGAAGAUCCUUUAUUCUUAUAAAAUUGGAAUUAUAUUGCCCUUAAGCCAGACAUCAGGUAGAAUACCUGUAUCAAAAACAAUGUUUAAAACACUGGACAUAAUCAUUCACAAGUUUUCUGGCAGAGUGUUUAGUAAAAGGUGUAAUGAUAUAGUACCAAACCUUUUACUAUAUAUUAUUUUUUGUUGUUGUUAGAGCUACGAAUUUAAGGUUGAUCGAUCCUCAUGUGAUGUCAUAGGUUUUUGCAAAAAUCUUGAUAAAUUAAACUUUGCACAUAAUAGAAAUAUAUCUUUCCAAGAAAUUUUAUUCACUGGAUAUAAUAAAAAAUCUGGUAAACUAUUAAUACUGAAAAAGUUUAUAUUUUCCAUAGAUAAUCAAUUAUUUAUGAUUAAAAUAAUUUUGUCAAGGGCAAUAACUCCUAUGCUGGAAUUUCCUCUACUGGAUGUCUAUUAUACAUUGGUUUACCUAAUAUCCACAAUUAAUCUAUACAUAUUUAUGAAUUAUCAGUUUUUUAAAACUGUUGAUAUUUAAAUUGUCAUUUCAACAAGUUUUUAUCUAUUUUUAUUAUUCUGUUUAACGAAAACGUGUGAUUUUCUGAUGUUGAUGUAUACUAUUGUUUUUGUAUGUCUUGACAUCUUUAAAAAGGUGGCAACAUAUACAUUUUCUUUGGUUAUUUAUUAAUUAAAUUAAACUAUAUUGAGUGGAAAUUAAUACAGUUUUUCCACUUUUAACCAUUAAUAUUGAUAAGUCACAUGAGGAUGGAGCUACCUUAAGAUUUUGUAUAAAUGCUAAGCAUUUUAAUUAACAAGUGUAUAAAAUAGCAUUUACAAAGUUAGACAUGGUGCUAUUUGAUAAUUAACAAAUUUUAUACUAGAAAUUAAAACCAAUACUAUCAAUAUUUGCCAGAAUGUUUUCUGUUUGAACUUGAUUCAAGCACUGAUGAGUCACCACUACUUGUAUCAAAUUAUUUGUAAUGAAAUGAAACUCAUUUUGUAUUUCAAUUAUAGGAAAAAGUCUUCGUCAAACAUUUAACAAAUUAUGGCCAUAUAAAAUCAUCAAUUGAUUCUUAGGCACCACCGAAUCCGUCCAAAAUGUACCACAUGGAUGGUUUUUUAAAUUGUUUAUGGUAUUUUAUAUGUAAAUGAGCUAACUAGUAUGUGAUGUUCUAUAUAAACAUGUGCAUAAGGAAGAAAAGGCAACUCCUGCUACAGUAAGAAGGAAAGGCAACUCGUGCUACAGUAAGAAGGAAAGGCAACUCGUGCUACAGUAAGAAGGAAAGUCAAAUAAAAAAAAGUACCAGCUUGCCUCAUCAAAAUUUGAAAUAUGCAGAUGAUUGCACUCUUCUUCUAAAAGAUGAGAUCACUCUUGAACAUUCCUUAAAAGUUAUAGCAAAAUUCAGCAAUGAUUCAACCUACAUGUAUUAUGAAAUAUAGAAUUGCUGAAGAAAUGAAAACUAGUACAAAAUGAUUUUUGUGUCUCUUGCAGGGACAUUGUUAAGCAAGUUUUAAAGUUUGAUAGACUGUAUAUCAUGGAUUUGUAGUAUGUAACAUGUAUGUAUGUUAUGCAUUUUAAAAAUACUUUUUAAAAAUAGCAUAAUAUCCCCAAUUGCCUGUAAUAUAUAUAAUUAUAUAUCAUAUAAACAGUAAACUAAAUUUUUAUAUAGAAGUAUACAAAAAAAAAUUCAGGACAAAAGAUACACAUAUGUUGAAGUUGUGAAAUUGUAAUUUAUACACCUUGGCAGGAUAAAACUUAUAUUGAAUGGUAUUAUAUCUUUUCUUUUUUUCGUCACAGUUUACUGGAAUAAAACCAUUCAGGUGUGUGUGUAUGUUGCGAUAUUACAAAUGUUAUUUAUUUUGUUCUGUGAGACCUCUAAAGAGUAGUAUAUGCAUACUUAAUGCUUCCAUAUUAGUUUCUGAAAAUAUUGAAUUGAUCACCAACAACUAUAUCAAAUAUAAUUGUACUUGUAAUAAUCUUUUUGUAUACAUCUAUUUUGUAAGAAGUUCCCACUACGAGGAGGGACCCUGUCCUCCUGUAGUGCUGUCAUGGGGGUUGUAAUAUGAACCCCUCAUAUGGCAGUUUUUGGUUUCUUUAUGUACAUGUACUGUUUUAAAAAAAAUGUCAAUGAUUUAAACAUAUACAUGUUUAUCUAUUUGAUUUAAAAAAACAGUAUCAUUAUAUAUGUAUUGUGUGGAUUACAAUUUGCAGACCAAAGGACUUAGAUUAAUGAUAAGAUCUGUUUUAAAUGACAUGUAUCAUUUUUGUUUCUUUUACAAAAAAAAAAAAAAAAAUAUAUAUAUAAAUAAAUAAAUUGCUCUUUACACAAAUGAUUUAUUAUCAUUUAGUACAGAAUCCAACCAAAAUGACAGUAAACACAUUGGAACUAAAAUUCCUGGAUCUAAUAGCAUUCAAAAGAACUGAGGAACAUCUCAAUCUAUACAUUUCUAAAUUCUCUGAUUCAGUAGAAAUUCUU